rnacentral:rRNA from 1 species
GAUCGGACCUCAGAUCAGACAAGACCACCCGCUGAGUUUAAGCAUAUCACUAAGCGGAGGAAAAGAAAC